rnacentral:rRNA from 1 species
GACGAACGCUGGCGGCGUGCUUAACACAUGCAAGUCGAACGGAAAGGCCCUGCUUUCGUGGGGUGCUCGAGUGGCGAACGGGUGAGUAACACGUGAGUAACCUGCCCUUGACUUUGGGAUAACUUCAGGAAACUGGGGCUAAUACCGGAUAGGAGCUCCUGCUGCAUGGUGGGGGUUGGAAAGUUUCGGCGGUUGGGGAUGGACUCGCGGCUUAUCAGCUUGUUGGUGGGGUAGUGGCUUACCAAGGCUUUGACGGGUAGCCGGCCUGAGAGGGUGACCGGCCACAUUGGGACUGAGAUACGGACCAGACUCCUACGGGAGGCAGCAGUGGGGAAUAUUGCACAAUGGGCGGAAGCCUGAUGCAGCAACGCCGCGUGCGGGAUGACGGCCUUCGGGUUGGAAACCGCUUUCGCCUGUGACGAAGCGUGAGUGACGGUAAUGGGUAAAGAAGCACCGGCUAACUACGUG